UACGAGUGCCUCAAGCGUUAUCCGGAAUUAUUGGGCGUAAAGCGUGUGUAGGUGGUCAUGUUAGUCUCCUGCGAAAUUCUUCGGCUUAACCGGGGCAUGAUGGGAGAAACGGCAUGACUUGAGGGUGCGAGGGGUGUGUGGAACUCUAGGUGUAGGGGUGAAAUCCGUUGAUAUCUAGGGGAACACCAAAAGCGAAGGCAGCACACUGGCGCAUUCCUGACACUGAGACACUAAAGCGUGGGUAGCGAAUGGG
rnacentral:rRNA from 1 species